CCUACGGGAGGCUGCAGUCGAGAAUCAUUCACAAUGGGGGAAACCCUGAUGGUGCGACGCCUCGUGGGGGAAUGAAGGUCUUCGGAUUGUAAACCCCUGUCAUGUGGGAGCAAAUUAAAAAGAUAGUACCACAAGAGGAAGAGACGGCUAACUCUGUGCCAGCAGCCGCGGUAAUAAAGAGGUCUCAAGCGUUGUUCGGAAUCACUGGGCGUAAGGCGUGCGUAGGCUGUUUCGUAAGUCGUGAGUGAAAGGCGCGGGCUCAACCCGCGGACGGCACAUGAUACUGCGAGACUAGAGUAAUGGAGGGGGAACCGGAAUUCUCGGUGUAGCAGGGAAAUGCGUAGAUAUCGAGAGGAACACUCGUGGCGAAGGCGGGUUCCUGGACAUUAACUGACGCUGAGGCACGAAGGCCAGGGGAGCGAAAGGGAUUAGAUACCCGUGUAGUC
rnacentral:rRNA from 1 species